AUUGAACGCUAGCGGCAUGCCUAACACAUGCAAGUCGAACGGCAGCACGAGGAGCUUGCUCCUUGGUGGCGAGUGGCGGACGGGUGAGUAACGCGUAGGAAUCUGCCUCGUAGUGGGGGACAACCCGGGGAAACUCGGGCUAAUACCGCAUAAUCUCUUCGGAGCAAAGUUGGGGACCUUCGGGCCUAACACUAUGAGAUGAGCCUGCGUUGGAUUAGCUAGUUGGUGGGGUAAAGGCCUACCAAGGCGACGAUCCAUAGCUGGUCUGAGAGGACGACCAGCCACACUGGGACUGAGACACGGCCCAGACUCCUACGGGAGGAAGCAGUGGGGAAUAUUGGGCAAUGGGCGAAAGCCUGAUCCAGCAAUGCCGCGUGUGUGAAGAAGGCCUUCGGGUCGUAAAGCACUUUUAGUGGGGAAGAAAAAGACAAGGAUAAUACCCUUGGAAAUUGACGUUACCCACAGAAAAAGCACUGGCUAACUCUGUGCCGGCAGCCGCAGUAA
rnacentral:rRNA from 1 species